AUGCGCCAGCGGCACGGGUGGUCAGGCCUGAGCAGCGAGCUCUUCUGCCCCCUCCUCAUUGGAUCGGCGGCCAGGGAGGCCAGAUCGUGUGGCACGAGAGAAGGCUCAUGUGUGAGGAAGGGGAGCAGCAACAUGCGUCGAUUGGAGAAGGGAGGAGCAACAGGUGCCACUGAAGGGAGGGGAGCAGCGGCAAGCGCGGAGGGAGGGGAGCACGGGAGCCCCAAGGGAGGCGGAGCAGCGGCAGGUGGCGUGGAGGUUGGAGAUCUUGGUGAGGACGGCGCGACGCGAGGUCAUGGUGGCAUGUGUCGGAGCAGUGGUAGGUGGCGUGUGCAGAUUAUGAGAGAGAUGGAGGUGGAUUAUGUGGACGCUCAAAAAUAUCCAUUGGCAAGGGUCUUGACGAUAUCGUUGGAAGGGGAUGCAACCAGAAAAAAGAGUUCAAAAGCCCGUAGCAACGCAUGUGCCUGA
rnacentral:rRNA from 1 species